UCGCGGGGGGCGGGGCGUCGCGGGCACAGCGUGAGGGCCGCCGUUGCUGGAGUUCAGCUUAGGGAAGGAGGACUCUGAGGAGGCCCCGAGCGGCGGAGCGCUUCGGGGGAGGCGCCCGCGCAGACGCGAGGCCCAUAGCCAGGACCACCACCUAGCUGUUCUACAGUCUGGGGACGACGGUUUAAAAAUUUAUGCCUUGCAUGCGAUGUGCAGUGGGUGAUGGAAGAACGUCUACAUGGCUUUAAAAUUGGAUUUAAAAGGCAAAUAUUUUAAAUGAAGGAAAACCCAAGAAGUUUACUUGAUUCCUUAUCUUCCAGGAUGCGACUUUUGUUUAUUUAUUUAUUUUAUUUUGAUGGAGUCUCGCUGCCGUCGCGCAGGCUGGAGUGCAGUGACGCGAUCUUGACCCGGGAACCUCCACCUCCCGGGUUCAAGCGAUUCUCCUUCCUCAACCACCCGAGUAGCUGGGAUUACAGGCGUGUGCCACCAUGCCCGGCUAAUUUUUGUGUUUUUAGUAGAGACCGGGGAAGGUAUGGGCCCUCUUUUGAGAAAAAUGCAGAGUGACACUGAAUUUUGUAACUACAUCAGGAGGCUCUUGAACCUUCUGCAGCUCACUCGUGGAGUUUGUAGAGAUGCGUAAUAAUCCGAAGUGUUAAGGAAGAAGGUUCUGUUGAGAAAAAGUUGGAGGGCUGAAAGGGAUGCCUUUCGCUAUUUCGACAUGUGUGGCUGUACCCCAGAGUGCCCUGGCUAACACGCAAAACCAUGAAUUAGGCGGCUUGGCGAGGCUCAGUGGAGGCUGGGGCCGAGAGUCAUGUCAAAGUUUGUGGGGUUAACCUGCACCCAGUGACAGUCAUGGCGAAGUUUGUGAGGUUAACUCGCACCCAGUAACGCUGUUCCAAUGCAAGGUGUGUAUUUGGUGUCAUCCACGGGAAGAGGAAACAGCAAAUUUUCUCAUGGCCUUGGCAGUUCCACAUGAUGGACAUUUCAUAUCUGCAGUUUUCUUCGCAUGAGAUGGCUUUUUUGCACAAAAACACUGGAAUCCAGUGAGCAAGAAUGAUAGAAUGCAAGAUGGAUUUCCACAUGAGGAAGUGUCACGAACAAGCGUUUUGCAUCUCUGUCAGCUGGAUUCCCCCAUGUGUACGUAUGUGAGAACAUGCCGUGUUUCCUGUCUGUAAUGGUAGAGGCAGCCCUGAUACUGGAUUUUCACCUGAGGAUGGAUAGAUCUUCAGGGUUCAAGUGGGUUUGCAUCUGGACUUUAGGGUGGCCCUGUAGGCCCUGUGUGAGAAGCCCCCUUCCCAGUGAACUUUCCCUUGUGUGCCCGCGUGGACAGCCAACAGGGGGAGCAGUGCGAGCGUGAAGGCAGACAGUGGCCUGGCCCAGUCUGAUGGGAGAGACCCACCGACCCUGUGGGGCUGGUCCCUACAUCUGGCGCUCUGACGUGGGGCUCUCCCUCGCUGUGUGAAGUUGCACCCUGAGUGCGGGAUCAGCGGAGGAGUUCAACGAGAGAUUCCUGAGGAUUGCAGUCUAUAAACUUGGUGGAAAAGAACUACAGCCUGUGUGGGUCCCCUCCCGACAAUUAAAAUUGCACCAUAACUCCAAAGAUGAAACGCUCCCAGAAAGAAAAGGCAAAGACCCAUCGGAAACAAAAGAGCAACUUUCACCGCCUGAUACAUACACUUCAUGACAUCCACAUUGAGACAAAAUCUCGCCGUGUGACCUACAACACCUCUCGUUCAACCCCACCUACUUGGGGUCGAAUACAGAUUUUAUCUCAUCAAACAGAAAAAUUCUUAACAGAAAAAGGAAUCCCAAAAAUGACUGGUAAUAUAAUUCUGGCUGCCUUUAUGGUAGUCAGUGCAGCGGUAAGUAUACCACCGGUCGGGGCAACUCAAAAUUAUACUUAUUGGGCAUAUGUUCCUUUUCCCCUUCUAAUUCGGUCUGUCUCCUGGAGGGACUCUCCAGUAGAAGUUUACACUAAUAAUAGUGCAUUCAUGCCGAUCCCUAAUGAUGAUCGGUUUCCAGCUCAACCGGAAGAAGAAGGUAUGCACUUUAAUCUGUCAAUUGGCUAUAAAUAUCCACCAUUAUGUAUUGGGAAGUCGCCUGGUUGUUUAGCUUAUUCUUAACAGAAUUGGAUGUGGACUGUACCGUCCUUUACAAAUGAUUCUUAUCAAGUAUAUAAUGUGUUCAGUACUAACUCUUUUCAACUUCUCACUGUCAAACGUACCCCACAUGAGGCAUGGAGAGUUCCUCUCACUACCAAAACUAAUAAAACAAAAGGACUGCCGGACUGUCCAAAGAAACCUACAAAUGGGCCUUUUAUAGUGACUUCAAUUUUAUGGGAUAAUUGUAAUGCUCCCAAGGCUGUUGUACUCCAAACUCUAGCCAUGGGUAUUGUUAUUGAUUGGGCUCCAAAAGGACAUUAUUGGCAAGAUUGCUCCAGCAAAAAUACCUUAUGCUCGGAGUUUAUUUAUUCCUUAGAUUAUAUAGAGCAUGGGUGGCAGUCUUACACGAUGAGACAACGGGUGUCUCCUUACCCAUUUAAAUGGAUGGACACAGGUAUUGCUCCUCCUAGACCAAAAAUUAUUCAUCCCUUUUUUACCCCAGAACAUCCUGAACUAUGGAAAUUAGCUGCAGCUUUGUCGGGAAUAAAGAUAUGGAACACUACCUAUCAGCUCCUUCGUACUAAAACCAAAACACCCACAUUCAACAUCACCCUUAUUUCUGAAUGGGUGAUACCCAUUAGGAGCUGUGUCAAACCCCCUUACAUGCUGUUGGUUGGAAAUAUAAUUAUGAUGCCUGAUGCACAAACUAUAGAAUGUCAUAACUGUAAGCUGUUCACUUGCAUUGAUGCAACUUUUAAUCCCACUACAAGUAUUCUCUUGGUAAGGGCUAGGGAGGGGGUAUGGAUACCAGUUUCUCUACAUCGUCCAUGGGAGUCUUCCCCCUCUAUUCACAUAGUCAAUGAAGUUCUUAAAGACAUCCUCAAAAGAACAAAGAGAUUUAUUUUUACUCUUAUUGCAGUCCUUGCAGGACUACUUGCGGUUACUGCAACAGCAGCAACUGCUGGAGUUGCCAUCCGCAGUUCUGUUCAAACUGCUCACUAUGUUGAAGCAUGCCAGAAAAAUUCCUCCAGACUUUGGAAUUCUCAGGCGCAAAUUGAUCAAAAAUUAGCUAAUCAGAUUAAUGAUCUCCGCCAAAGUGUAACCUGGCUGGGAGAUAGAGUUAUGAACUUGCAACACCGUAUGCAAUUACAGUGUGAUUGGAAUACUUCUGAUUAUUGCAUAACGCCUUAUGCUUAUAAUCAAGAUCAACAUAGCUGGGAAAAUGUCUCAAGACAUUUAAAAGCCUGGGAUGAUAACUUAACCUUGGAUAUUUCACAACUUAAAGAGCAAAUCUUUGAGGCUUCACAAGCCCAUUUAUCCACAGUUCCUGGCUCACACAUUUUUGAAGGCAUAACUAAACAAUUACCUGAUUUUAAUCCCUUCAAAUGGCUCAAACCCGUCAGAGGAUCAUUGUUGUUACUGGCAUUAUUAAUAUUGGUAUGCUUAUGUUGUCUCCUUUUAGUCUGCAGAUGCCUCUAAGGAGUCCGAAACCAAGUCCGAAGUCAACAACAAGCAAUGAUGGCGAUGGCGAUUCUAGUUAAUAAAAAGGGGGGAGAUGUGGGCGGCAAGCCACCCAGGCACCGAGGCAAGAGACAGAGGACACGAGCUGUUCCAGUAUAAUAAAAUAUAAAACAAGAAUAGUUAUACCAGAUAUAGAUCUUAGAUAUGAUUAUAUACGAAUAUCAUUAAUCAUGAGUUUGUAGCAAUUACUUUUUAUUCCAAUAUUAUGAUAAUCCUCGCUCUAUAAUCAUAGCCUAGGAAAAACCAGGCCAUACAGAGAUAGGAGCUGAGGGGACAUAGUGAAGUGUGACCAGAAGACAAGAGUGCGAGCCUUCUGUUAUGCCCGGACAGGGCCACCAGAGGGCUCCUUGGUCUAGCGGUGACGCCAGCGUCUGGGAAGACACCCGUUACCAGGCGGAUCGUGGCCCAGCCGUAGCAAAAGGUGUCAAGGAACACCUUUUGCAAAAGGUGUCAACACCCGCUACUUAGCAGACUGGGAAAGGGGGGCGGUCUCCCUUUCCCCGGGGGAGUUUAGAGAAGACUCUGUUCCUCCACCUCUUGUGGAGGGCCUGACAUCAGUCAGGCUUGCCCGUAGUUAUCCGGAGGCCUAACUGUCUCCCUGUGAUGCUGUGCUUCAGUGGUCACGCUCCUAGUCUGCCUUCAUUUUCCAUCCUGUACACCUGGCUCUGCCUUCUAGAUAGCAGUAGUAAAUUAGUGAAAAUACUAAUAGUCCCUGAUAUGCAGAAAUAAUGGCAUAAGCUGUCUUUCUCUCUGUCUCCUCUCCCUCUCUGCCUCGGCUGCCAGGCAGGGAAGGGCCCCCUGUCCAGUGGACACAUGACCCAUGUGACCUUACCUAUCAUUGGAGGUGACUCACAUUCUUUACCCUGCCCCUUCUGCCUUGUAUCCAAUAACAGCGCAGUCAGACAUUCAGGGCCACUACCGGUCUCCGCACAUUGGUGGUAGUGGUCCCCCGGGCCCAGCU
rnacentral:lncRNA from 1 species